rnacentral:rRNA from 1 species
AGUCGAGCGGUAACAGAUCCAGCUUGCUGGAUGCUGACGAGCGGCGGACGGGUGAGUAAUGCAUAGGAAUCUGCCCGAUAGUGGGGGAUAACCUGGGGAAACCCAGGCUAAUACCGCAUACGUCCUACGGGAGAAAGGGGGCUUCGGCUCCCGCUAUCGGAUGAGCCUAUGUCGGAUUAGCUAGUUGGUGAGGUAAAGGCUCACCAAGGCAACGAUCCGUAGCUGGUCUGAGAGGAUGAUCAGCCACAUCGGGACUGAGACACGGCCCGAACUCCUACGGGAGGCAGCAGUGGGGAAUAUUGGACAAUGGGGGCAACCCUGAUCCAGCCAUGCCGCGUGUGUGAAGAAGGCCCUCGGGUUGUAAAGCACUUUCAGCGAGGAAGAACGCCUAGCGGUUAAUACCCGCUAGGAAAGACAUCACUCGCAGAAGAAGCACCGGCUAACUCCGUGCCAGCAGCCGCGGUAAUACGGAGGGUGCAAGCGUUAAUCGGAAUUACUGGGCGUAAAGCGCGCGUAGGUGGCUUGAUAAGCCGGUUGUGAAAGCCCCGGGCUCAACCUGGGAACGGCAUCCGGAACUGUCAAGCUAGAGUGCAGGAGAGGAAGGUAGAAUUCCCGGUGUAGCGGUGAAAUGCGUAGAGAUCGGGAGGAAUACCAGUGGCGAAGGCGGCCUUCUGGACUGACACUGACACUGAGGUGCGAAAGCGUGGGUAGCAAACAGGAUUAGAUACCCUGGUAGUCCACGCCGUAAACGAUGUCGACCAGCCGUUGGGUGCCUAGCGCACUUUGUGGCGAAGUUAACGCGAUAAGUCGACCGCCUGGGGAGUACGGCCGCAAGGUUAAAACUCAAAUGAAUUGACGGGGGCCCGCACAAGCGGUGGAGCAUGUGGUUUAAUUCGAUGCAACGCGAAGAACCUUACCUACUCUUGACAUCCUGCGAAUUCGGUAGAGAUACCUUAGUGCCUUCGGGAACGCAGAGACAGGUGCUGCAUGGCUGUCGUCAGCUCGUGUUGUGAAAUGUUGGGUUAAGUCCCGUAACGAGCGCAACCCUUGUCCUUAUUUGCCAGCGC